UACGGAGGGUGCAAGCGUUGUUCGGAUUUAUUGGGCGUAAAGGGCGUGUAGGCGGUCCGUUAAGUCUGAUGUGAAAGCCCCGGGCUCAACCUGGGAACUGCAUCUUAUACUGGGCAACUGGAGUACAUGAGAGGGUAGUGGAAUUUCCGGUGUAGCGGUGAAAUGCGUAGAUAUCGGAAGGAACACCAGUGGCGAAGGCGGCUACCUGGCAUGAUACUGACACUGAGGCGCGAGAGCGUGGGGAGCAAACAGG
rnacentral:rRNA from 1 species